AUCAGGAUUAACCUUUUUUGGCUUUUGUGCUGAUGAGAUUUAGUGAGCCCUGCACGUCUCCUGGCUUAGAAGCAGACUUUUUGCUAAAUAAGAUUUGUACCGUUUCAUAAAUAUUAACCCAGAUAUACACAGCCAGUUAAAAGUAAUAAUGCCCCUGAGUUGAAAUCUAUAUGUUAAUUUCAAAUUCUGUUUGAAUUGAUCGGAUUGAUAUUAGGAGGAUUAAAAAUCUUUGUCAAUUUAUGUUUCAGGCCAUGCAUUAAUGAGAAAGGUGAAACACCACAGGCAUUUUCUCCAACUUUGUUUUUCAAUUUAAGUAGGGAUGAUGUCAUCUUUCUUUCAACAAAAUCAUUUAGACCCUGAUGGCCCUUGUUUUUUCAUUGUCUAACAAGCAGCAAGAGCUCUAAAUUUAUACAUCAAGGUGGAGAGCAAAGCUAGAGAAGAGCAAUACGGACUGAAAUUUUAAUGUGGUCCCAGAGCGAGCUACUUGGAGGGAUGACAUUUGCACACUGAUAGGCUCACUAUCGGACUUCCUCUGGUGGCUCAGCAGAGUGCUCACCCUUAGAAGCCCAGGCCACAUGAAGAAGACAUGGGUGAGUGAGUGGUCAACAAUCCCAGCAAAAUCCUCAACAAGUGACUGGAAUCAGUCAUCAGACAUGUGAGUAAAUGAAUCUUCACUCACUCCAGCCCCCAGUGUUAAGCCAUACCAGUUGACGCCAUGCAGAGCAGAGACG
rnacentral:lncRNA from 1 species